GGUGACCAAAGAAGAAUUUACCAACUACUACAGUGGAGUAGGAGCCAAUAUAGAUACAGAUGAAGAUUUUGUGAAAAUGAUGAAAACUGCAUGGGAAAUAUAACAAAAUUGUUUGAUAAUGAUUUCAAUUUCCAUACUAACAAUAUGGAAUACCAUUUGGCUGUGAUAGGUGCAUGAUAUCAUUCGUAAAACAACUUUAAAAUUUAAAGUAUUUUCUUUAACUGUACCUGAAAAAAUUUAAAGUAUUUUCUUUAACUGUUUCUGAAAAAAUUAUUUAAGAAUAUUUCUGUCUGUAUGUCGUAG
rnacentral:lncRNA from 1 species